AUGUUCAUGUGGCUCUGGUAGUGGGAUCAUUUGCCCAUCUGCCUCUUGAAGGCUGCCAGGCUGUGUGUGUCAGAUGCUGAGGAAGCACUGUUGGGGGCCCCUGGUCUCAGAAGUUUUGUCAGCCUGACUUCUUGAGUGAUACCACCAGAAGAACUAUGUCUACUUCGGUGUUUCUUCCAGAAUGAAUGCUGUGUCCCCCAGUUCCAGGCCGUGCACUUUCCUUUGAACAUCCCUCUGCAUCCUACAUCCCUGCCCCUCUGCCCACAUGCCGCUCUUUCCUGUUUAGCUUGGAUAGCAGGCUGGCUCUGGCCAUCAGAACCAUUGCUGACCUUGGCUGUCUUCACCUGCUGGGCAGACACAAAAGUGAGGCCAACAUCUGGACCCAGAGGAGAAAUUAGAGGCCAUUUGUGGAAGUACUCAGGAGGCCGGAAGGCCUCUGUCCAAGGCCAAAACACCACACCAUUGUUUUCCAGUUCCAAACAGGAAGGGAACCUGGGUGUGCUUGGGCAAAGGAAAGGGAACUUGAGGUGGAUGUAAGUGUGGCAAGUAAUCUCGAGUUAAAAAGGGGCCACAGUCUCUUCUAAUAAACAGUGUAUACUGUUCUGUAUCCUGA
rnacentral:lncRNA from 1 species